rnacentral:rRNA from 1 species
AUGUCACUGUUAUUGCAAAAGUUGAGCAUUACUGCUGUUGGGAAGCAUGAGAAGCUUCACCCGCAAAAACAAAAAGGGAAGCAUGAGAAGCUGCUUAAUCUUAUUAAAAAUCCUGUUACCCGGUAUCUACUUGUUGGCUCACGGAAGAUUGGCCUUUCAUAUAGCGCGGAUAAGUCAGUUAAACUGAAUGACUAUGUUGCCGAAUGCAGUGAUGAUGAAGCCCUUGUGUUUGUGGUUGGUGCCAUGGCUCAUGGAAAGAUUGACAAUGAAUACAUAGACGAGCACAUACGGAGACGAGGAGGUCGAGCAGUCAGUGGUGUCUUCGUCAUCGCCGGCUGCGCUGGUAUGUUGUUCUCUUUUCCCUGCUCCGCCGCCUAG